GCUAAAGGUCCUGAAGCAUCUAGGCCACCUGCAACAACACUGAAUCUUUUGUCAAAUAUUGAAAAUUCAGCGGAGACUUCAAGAAAAAACUCUGUGCCUGCUCCAAACAUAAAACCCAUGGAUUUCUUCCCUCAAUUUGCGGGUUUUGCUUCUCGAAAUCCCAUCGAAGACUCCACUGCUAAACCUGCAGAUUUGAGGAAAUCUUCCAGAGCAGUAGAUCCUGGAACUGCCCAACUGACCAUAUUUUACGCGGGCCAGGUGAUAGUUUAUGAUGAU
rnacentral:misc_RNA from 1 species